rnacentral:rRNA from 1 species
UACGGAGGAUCCGAGCGUUAUCCGGAUUUAUUGGGUUUAAAGGGUGCGCAGGCGGAAGAUUAAGUCGGUGGUGAAAUUUUGCAGCUCAACUGUAAAAGUGCCAUUGAUACUGGUUUUCUUGAGUGUGGAUGAAGUAGGCGGAAUUUGUGGUGUAGCGGUGAAAUGCAUAGAUAUCACGAGGAACUCGAUUGCGCAGGCAGCUUAACUAAACCAUAACUGACGCUCAGGCACGAAAGGCGUGGGGAUCAAACAGGAUUAGAUACCCGGUA